CCUAAAAUUUAGCUACUAACAACCCAUGCCAACCCAAACUAUAAACCAAAAAUAAAACAUUUUUUUGUCAAGUAGAGGUGAUCAAAAAACUUAUUAGCGCUACAUAUCAAGUACCGCAAGGGAAAAAUGAAAUAGACUUGAAAUAGCCUUAAAGCAAAACAAAGUAGAGAUCACCCCUCGUACCUUUUGCAUCAUGAUUUAGCUAGUUCCUCCCAGGCAAAGUGAAACACCAGUCUGACCCCCCGAAACUAGACGAGCUACUUUUAAACAGCUUUAUAGAGCCAACCCGUCUCUGUUGCAAAAGAGUGGGAUGAUUUUUAAGUAGAGGUGAAAAGCCUAUCGAGCCUAGAGAUAGCUGGUUACUUAGGAAAAGAAUUUUAGUUCGCCCUCAAGUCUUUUUAUUACAAUAACAAACAACCUAAGACUUGACAGCUACUCAAGUAAGGCACAGCUUACUUGAUAAAGGACACAACCUAGAAAAAAGGGUAAAAAUUGACAUCCAAACUAAGUGGGCCUAAAAGCAGCCUAAAAAGCGUUAAAGCUUCGUAUCCUUAUAUUUAACCUAAUCCCUAAAAACACUUUAAACCCUUUACUAUUACUUAGUAAUUUUAUAUUAUUAUAAAAGUUUUUAUGCUAGAACUAGUAACAAGAAACUGAAUUUCUCCUAAAUAUAAGCAUAAACCAAAACGGACAAACCAUUGGUAAUUAACGCUUGUAAGCCUAAUAUAUUAACUUCGCAAGAAAAAUCUAUAAACAUACACGUUAAUCUUACACAAGUAUAUUUCAGGAAAGAUUAAAAGAAAAGGAAGGAACUCGGCAAAUUUUAACCCCGCCUGUUUACCAAAAACAUCGCCUCUUGAUCAAAUAUAAGAGGUCUAGCCUGCCCAGUGACGUACUUAAACGGCCGCGGUACCCUGACCGUGCAAAGGUAGCAUAAUCAUUUGUUCUUUAAAUAGGGACUUGUAUCAACGGCAUCACGAGGGUUAUACUGUCUCCCCUCUCUAAUCAGUGAAACUGACCUCCCCGUGAAGAGGCGGGGAUAAAAAUACAAGACGAGAAGACCCCAUGGAGCUUCAAACCCAAUAACAACCUCCUUAAACAAAAGAAAACUCUUGAGGGACUGUAUAUUGGUUUUAGGUUGGGGUGACCACGGAGUAAAAUAAAACCUCCCUGACGAAUGGAUUUUAUCCUAAUCCAAGAGCCACUGCUCUAAGAAUCAAAAAUUUGACGUAACAUGAUCCAGCACGCUGAUCAACGAACCAAGUUACCCUGGGGAUAACAGCGCAAUCCAUUUCAAGAGCCCCUAUCGACAAAUGGGUUUACGACCUCGAUGUUGGAUCAGGGUGUCCCGGUGGUGCAGCCGCUACAAAGGUUUGUUUG
rnacentral:rRNA from 1 species